CCUACGGGUGGCAGCAGUGAGGAAUAUUGGUCAAUGGGCGCGAGCCUGAACCAGCCAAGUCGCGUGAGGGAAGACGGUCCUAUGGAUUGUAAACCUCUUUUGUCGGGGAGCAAAAGACGCCACGCGUGGCGUUCCGAGAGUACCCGAAGAAAAAGCAUCGGCAAACUCCGUGCCAGCAGCCGCGGUAAUACGGAGGAUGCGAGCGUUAUCCGGAUUUAUUGGGGUUAAGGGGUGCGGGGGCGGAAGAUCAAGUCAGCGGUAAAAUUGAGGGGCUCAACCUCUUCGGGCCGUUGAAACUGGUUGUCUUGAGUGAGCUAGAAGUAUGCGGAAUGCGUGGUGUAGCGGUGAAAUGCAUAGAUAUCACGCAGAACUCCGAUUGCGAAGGCAGCAUACCGGCGCUCAACUGACGCUCAUGCACGAAAGUGUGGGUAUCGAACAGGAUUAGAUACCCUAGUAGUC
rnacentral:rRNA from 1 species